UACGAAGGGGACUAGCGUUGUUCGGAAUUACUGGGCGUAAAGGGCGCGUAGGCGGCCUGUUAAGUCGAACGUGAAAUCCCCGGGCUCAACCCGGGAACUGCGUCCAAUACUGGCAGGCUUGAAUUCGGGAGAGGGAUGCGGAAUUCCAGGUGUAGCGGUGAAAUGCGUAGAUAUCUGGAGGAACACCGGUGGCGAAGGCGGCAUCCUGGACCGGUAUUGACGCUGAUGCGCGAAAGCCAGGGAGCAAAGCGGG
rnacentral:rRNA from 1 species